rnacentral:rRNA from 1 species
CACGGGGGGAGCAAGCGUUGUUCGGAAUCACUGGGCGUAAAGGGCGUGUAGGCGGUCAGAUAAGUGGAAUGUGAAAUGCCCCGGCUCACCCGGGGACCGGCAUCCCAAACUGUCUGGCUUGAGUAUGGGAGAGGAUGGAGGAAUUCCUGGUGUAGCGGUGAAAUGCGUAGAUAUCAGGAGGAACACCGGUGGCGAAGGCGUCCAUCUGGCCCAAUACUGACGCUGAGGCGCGAAAGCUAGGGGAGCGAACGGGAUUAGAUACCCCGGUAGUCCUAGCCGUAAACGGUGAUCACUAGGUGUUGGGGGCAUCGACCCCUCCAGUGCCGCAGCUAACGCAUUAAGUGAUCCGCCUGGGGAGUACGGCCGCAAGGUUG